CUUUAUUCUUGGCCUUUGGCUAAGAUCAAGCAUAGUAUCUGUUCUUAUCAGUUUAAUAUCUGAUAUGCGCUCUAUCCGAUGACAAUAUAUUAAAUGGAUUUUUGGAGCAGGGAGAUGGAAUAGGAGCUUGCUCUGUCCAUCCUGUGCAUUAAACUGAUCUUACAGUUCCUCCAGUAACUGUGUGCCCCCU
ensembl:snRNA U2 U2 spliceosomal RNA